UAGCGAAGGGGGCUAGCGUUGCUCGGAAUCACUGGGCGUAAAGCGCACGUAGGCGGCUUGUUAAGUCAGGGGUGAAAAUCCUGGAGCUCAACUCCAGAACUGCCUUUGAUACUGGCGAGCUUGAGUCCGGGAGAGGUGGGUGGAACUGCGAGUGUAGAGGUGAAAUUCGUAGAUAUUCGCAAGAACACCAGUGGCGAAGGCGGCUCACUGGCCCGGUACGUGACGCUGAGGUGCGAAAGCGUGGGGAGC
rnacentral:rRNA from 1 species